UACGUAGGCAGCAAGCGUUGUUCGGAAUUACUGGGCGUAAAGAGUGUGUAGGCGGUGCUCUAAGUUCGGUGUGAAAUCUCCCGGCUCAACUGGGAGGGUGCGCCGGAAACUGGGGUGCUGGAGCGCGGAAGAGGAAAGCGGAAUUCCUGGUGUAGCGGUGAAAUGCGUAGAUAUCAGGAGGAACACCGGCGGUGUAGACGGCUUUCUGGACCGUAGCUGACGCUGAGACACGAAAGCGUGGGUAGCAAACAGG
rnacentral:rRNA from 1 species